AGGAUGAACGCUGGCGGUCUGCUUAACACAUGCAAGUCGAACGGAGUAGCAAUACUUAGUGGCGGACGGGUGAGUAACGCGUGAGAAUCUACCUUCAGGGCGGAGACAACAGUUGGAAACGACUGCUAACCCCCGAUGUACCGAAAGGGCAAAUAUUUAUAGCCUGAAGAAGAGCUCGCGUCCGAUUAGCUAGUUGGAGAGGUAAAAGCCCACCAAGGCGACGAUCGGUAGCUGGUCUGAGAGGACGAUCAGCCACACUGGGACUGAGACACGGCCCAGACUCCUACGGGAGGCAGCAGUGGGGAAUUUCCGCAAUGGGCGAAAGCCUGACGGAGCAAGACCGCGUGGGGGAGGAAGGCUCUUGGGUUGUAAACCUCUUUUCUUGGGGAAGAACAAAAUGACGGUACCCAAGGAAUCAGCAUCGGCUAACUCCGUGCCAGCAGCCGC
rnacentral:rRNA from 1 species